ensembl:miRNA
UCCUAGUCCCUGAGACCCUAACUUGUGAGGUAUUUUAGUAACAUCACAAGUCAGGCUCUUGGGACCUAGGC